rnacentral:rRNA from 1 species
UACGUAGGUGGCGAACGUUAUCCGGAAUUACUGGGCGUAAAGGGUCUGUAGACGGUCUGAAAGGUCUGGCGUGACAAUUCUCGGCUUAACUGAGAGAGUGCGUUGGAAACCGGUAGACUAGAAUCACGUCGAGGUCGGUGGAAUUCCCGGUGUAGUGGUGGAAUGCGUAGAGAUCGGGAGGAACCCCUAAAGCGAAGGCAGCCGGCUAGACGAUGAUUGACGCUGAGGGACGAUAGCGUGGGGAGCGAACAGG